GCCUUCGUGGUGUAAUGGUCAGCACGCUGAGCCGGUAUUUCAGAGGUCCGCGGUUCGAUCCCCGGCGAAGGCA
rfam:Stegodyphus mimosarum contig119768, whole genome shotgun sequence.